UGCUCCCUGAUUGGUUGGCUGCACUGUUGCGUGUUGCCGUUCCUGAGGUCCUGCGGUGGCGGUAGCAGGGCGAGGUGCUGGCUAGAGCCAGAGUAGCUCGAAUGCCAUUUCCGUAGCCUUUUGCCAGUCUGGAGUGACUCUGAAGAUGAGUCCUGGUCAACGUUGGACAGUGCCAAAAGGGAUGAGACUGCAGACCCAUGACAAAUGAGAUUUGGUGGUGGCCUCACAGCAAAAAUCUGAUCAAGAUGCCAUAACAGUAGAAGACGCACAGCUACUUAAAGGCAGCAAGUUAUCCAUCUGGAAUGAAUGACAAAGGAAAGUGAACGGAAGGACUUCAUCAGUCUCUGCAUGAAGAAAAAGAAAGUCUGUCCCAUGCUCUCCAGGACGGCACAUGGUGGUGGUGAGGCUAGAAGGGAAGAGUCUGGCCUGAAUGGAGCUAUUGGAGGAAGAAGAGUUUCAGCAGCAAGGCAGUGCUGUGCCCCAGCAGCAGAGGGAUAGCUCAGGAAUGGAAAGGGCUAUAAGUCAGGCCAUUUCUCCAGGGCUGCUUCAGGCACUCAGUAAAUGAUUCAGGUUCAUCUGUAGGUAUCAGUAAAGCACUUUAGUCAGGCUGAGGACCCAGGGAAGGUUUGUGUGGGAGUGCAAUUACAGGAAUUGGCUGCAUGUAUCCUCAGAGUUUCUGUGUAAGAAUUCAAAGUAAAGAUCACCAGAUCAUCUAGUUUGAUCUCCUAUACACCAUAGGCCACUGAACCCCACCCAAUCACCCCUGUAUUGAGCACAGUAACUUGGAUUAAACUCUCCUGGCCUGCCUAUUCUCAGCCUGUGGCACACAAUGGUUUAGUCUCCCCCUGGAAAUAGGCUGUCCAAGAGAGAAGUCUCUCAUGUAAUUGUGGGUUUGUGCAGCAUGUUUGGGUUGUACAAUAUCUGGAUGGUAAGGUAAGCAAACUGCUACUGUAGAUGGGAUUGUAAAUUUAACUGAUAAUGUGCUUGAUUCUUAGUGAUUGUGUCAGUGGAAUUUGCACCUGCCCAGCAUUAACUCAGAGGGCUAGAUCCUCAUCUAUGGCUGAGGAAAACUGGAGUGCAAAGUGUCUUUAAGCCACCAGUUCUAGGGCCUUUCUGUGUCAGGCCAAUCCUCUGCACAAGUUACAGCAGCUGUCAGGCUGUUCUUACUUGUAUCAACUGCCAACAGUCCCAAGGGGCCACUAUGUCAGUUGGGGAUUACUAGGGUACUUGGAAGCCCCCCAUCAUGUUCCUUCUGCCAGUAACAGGGAGGGGUAACUGUACAGGAAAUGGCUCUAAAAUAUCUGAUGGUCCUACACAGGGGAGCAUCUCCUGGGAAUAAGUAAGCUGGUUUUAGGAUACUCUUGUGCUGGUGGAUCAGCAGGAAGCUUCCUAAUUCAGCAACAGAUGUAAUCCUAGAUAACCAAUAUCAUUUUUUUGUGGGGGUGGGGAGUUAUGUACCUCAACCAUGACAUAAUUGUCUCUGCCUUUUUCCUUUGGGCAAACUACUGCAAUAAAUUAACACUAAAUCAAAUAUACAACCAAUAUCCUGUGUGUUGUAAAAUAUACCAUUUCUAGUUAGUUACACAUCUGCAUUCUGUGCAGGUACAUACAUCUGUUGCCU